UACGUAGGUGACAAGCGUUGUCCGGAUUUACUGGGCGUAAAGAGCGCGCAGGCGGUCGAUCAAGUCGAGUGUGAAAGCCCCCGGCUCAACUGGGGAGGGUCAUUCGAUACUGAUCGACUCGAAGGCAGGAGAGGGUAGUGGAAUUCCCGGUGUAGUGGUGAAAUGCGUAGAUAUCGGGAGGAACACCAGUGGCGAAGGCGACUACCUGGCCUGUUCUUGACGCUGAGGCGCGGAAAAGCUAGGGGAGCAAACGGGG
rnacentral:rRNA from 1 species